rnacentral:misc_RNA from 1 species
GAUGAAGAACGCAGCGAAAUGCGAUAAGUAAUGCGAAUUGCAGAAUCCGUGAGUCAUCGAAUCUUUGAACGCACAUUGCGCCCGCCAGUAUUCUGGCGGGCAUGCCUGUUCGAGCGUCAUUUCAACCCUCAGGCCCCGCCUGGCGUUGGGGAUCGGCGCGGCCCUCUCCGGGCUGCCGGCCCCGAAAACUAGUGGCGGUCUCGCUGUAGUCCUCCUCUGCGCAGUAGCAACGCUCGCACUGGAACUCGGCGCGGCCACGCCGUAAAACACCCCACUUCUGAAAGUUGACCUCGGAUCAGGUAGGAAUACCCGCUGAACUUAAGCAUAUCAAUAAGCGGAGGA